AUAUUAAACUGAUCACCAAAUCGUAUUAGGCUUAACUGAACUGACACUGAUCGUGCUGACUGACUGAACUAGACUGAGUUCACUAAGUUCUGUUAACUGACUGAGUACUACGGUUCUUGACCAUGACUGGAACUAGUCUAUAAUUACUGCAUCUAAGUAAACAGCUAGAUUUUGGGUAAUAAAUGCCCCCAGAACUCGAUAGCAUCAAAAAUAAAACAUAAUAAAUCUUAAAAACAUAGCAAUAGUCAAUUGUUCACAAUUGAUUCAUUGAGACAUUUUGUCAAACACUUGGAAGCCAUGAACUUGUAUAGGAAUGAGAACACAUGCUAACACAUCAUAAAUUCACUAUUCAAUUCACAUGGACAUUCUAUGAAACAUAUGGGGAGAAGAAUUAAUACACAUGAUGAUAAACAACAUAUAAGCAUCAUGACUACAACUUAAUCUUGCAAUUUCAAGGGUUAUGGCAUGGGAAUUACAUAAAUCAACAUACAUGGCAUCUUAUGUUCAUGAAACUUAUAAUUAAAUCUUGAAUUGAAAUUCAUACAACAAUACAAACAUGAAUACAAUCCAAUUCGAGCAUGUGAAUCAUGAAUUUCAUAACUUGUAGUUUUAAAAUGGGUUCUUGAACUCCAAGGGUGGAAAAAACCCAAGGAUGAACACCUAACAUACCUA
rnacentral:lncRNA from 1 species